rnacentral:rRNA from 1 species
AGUGAACGCUGGCGGUAGGCCUAACACAUGCAAGUCGAACGGCAGCACAGUAAGAGCUUGCUCUUACGGGUGGCGAGUGGCGGACGGGUGAGGAAUACAUCGGAAUCUACUUUUUCGUGGGGGAUAACGUAGGGAAACUUACGCUAAUACCGCAUACGACCUACGGGUGAAAGCAGGGGAUCUUCGGACCUUGCGCGAUUGAAUGAGCCGAUGUCGGAUUAGCUGGUUGGCGGGGUAAGGGCCCACCAAGGCGACGAUCCGUAGCUGGUCUGAGAGGAUGAUCAGCCACACUGGAACUGAGACACGGUCCAGACUCCUACGGGAGGCAGCAGUGGGGAAUAUUGGACAAUGGGCGCAAGCCUGAUCCAGCCAUACCGCGUGGUGAAGAAGGCCUUCGGGUUGUAAAGCCCUUUUGUUGGGAAAGAAAAGCAGCAGGUUAAUACCCCGCUGUUCUGACGGUACCCAAAGAAUAAGCACCGGCUAACUUCGUG